CUGGGUUCCAGCGAUUCUCCUGUGUCAGCCUCCCGAGUAGCUCAGAUUACAGGCCUGCACCACCACGCCCGGCUAGUUUUGUAUUUUUAGUAGAGGCGAGGUUUCACCAUGUUGGCCAUUCUGGUCUCAACCUCAUGACCUCAGGUAAUCCGCCUGCCUUGUCUUCCCAAAGUGCUGGGAUUACAGGUUUGAGCCACCGCACCCAGCCCCCUAGCUCAUUUUUUAAAGGGUAAUGCCAGCUGCUGUACUGAGACUAGACCACAGGGCUGAGUGGGAACAAGGGAAGAGGCUGGAAGACCAGAAGGCCCCUGCUAUAGUCUGAAAGAGGCAGCACUGGCUGGAACCAAGGGGACCCACAGAAAAACUCAAAGGAAU
rnacentral:lncRNA from 1 species